rnacentral:misc_RNA from 1 species
AGCAUUCCCAAUACUCAUUGCUGUCUGCAAUCAUACAAGGCAAGUCUUUAGUCCUCGCCACAUAACAUGAGGUUACAGAAGAUGAACUUUGAAAGUGGAUCAUAGGUCAUUUAUCAAUUCAGAAUUAAGCAAUAUUAUGCAGAAAGCAUUCUAAACAAGAAGCUGAUACUCUACUAUAAAAGCAUAAAACAAGAGAGGCAAAGCACAUGCAUUUAGUACUGUUAAUAAGUACAAUAAAAUUAAAAAUUGGUACAGUCAAUUUUGCAAUUAUGUGUUUUAACGUUGUAUCAAUGUGAAUUAUGGUCUAGAUAGAAGUGAAGAAAAACAUCAAAGUAAAUGACUGACAACAAACUAAAUGAGAAAAAGAGAUGCUGUGGCACUUUAACAACAUAAGAAUGAAGGGAAUAAAGCUUAGCAAACAAACCUCACUAAAGAUAAGCUUGGGCAUCAAGUGCAAUUUAAUUCCAAUCAUCAUUAUGAGUAUCUCAUAAGCCACAAGUGAUAACAUUGCCAAUUGGGGAAAAAAAAAAGAGAGGAGAGAGAGAGAGAGAAAAACAGUAAAAAAAAGGCCAUUAACAAAUGUUUUCACAUAGCAUUGAUUGGAAUUUUCAUCUCAACAGAAAUCUUGAAAUAGUUUGAGAUCUGGCUUUUGGAAACUGAAGAAGUAAAUUCUAGGAAUACAGGAGCAGUUUAAAUUUCUUCUGAAAGAUUUGAAAACCUUUUCCACAUAAAAUGUCAUCAUAUCUUAUGCAAGUUAAACAUCUCAACAAAAAGUGUUGCAGCUUGAACAGAACGCCAUUAGCACUAGAUCCACAUAGAAUAAAAUAGGAAUGUAUUUACGCUAAAGAAGUUCACAAAGGCCGG